rnacentral:tRNA from 1 species
AGGGGUAUAGCUCAGUUGGUAGAGCGACGGUCUCCAAAACCGUAGGUCGCGGGUUCGACCCCUGCUCCCCCUGCCA